GAUGAACGCUAGCGGCAGGCCUAACACAUGCAAGUCGAGGGGUAAAGGAAGCUUGCUUCCUUGAGACCGGCGCACGGGUGCGUAACGCGUAUGCAAUCUACCUUGUACAGAGGGAUAGCCCAGAGAAAUUUGGAUUAAUACCUCAUAGUAUUAUUGAAUGGCAUCAUUUAAUAAUUAAAGUUCCAACGGUACAAGAUGAGCAUGCGUCCUAUUAGCUAGUUGGUGUGGUAACGGCAUACCAAGGCUACGAUAGGUAGGGGUCCUGAGAGGGAGAUCCCCCACACUGGUACUGAGACACGGACCAGACUCCUACGGGAGGCAGCAGUGAGGAAUAUUGGACAAUGGGCGCAAGCCUGAUCCAGCCAUGCCGCGUGCAGGAAGAAGCAUCUAUGGUGUGUAAACUGCUUUUGUGCGGGAAGAAACACUCCCUCGUGAGGGAGCUUGACGGUACCGUAAGAAUAAGGAUCGGCUAACUCCGUGCCAGCAGCCGCGGUAAUAC
rnacentral:rRNA from 1 species